CCGUGAUAAAGUAGCAUAAUCACUCGUCAUUUAAUUGGUGACUAGAAUGAAUGGUUAAACGAAUCUCCAACUGUCUCAAUAAUUAAGUUAAUGAAGUUAAAGUAAUAGUGAAGAUACUAUUUAAUAAUUGUAAGACGAAAAGACCCUAUUGAGCUUUACUAAAAGCUUAAAAAUAUCAAACAUAUAAUAAUAUUAUACCAAAAAAUCUUUUAAGCGGAUUAGUUUGGUUGGGGCGACCACCUCUAAAAAAGUAUCAGAGGUAAUCUAAAGGUUAUUUUUAAAUAAAAAAAAGCCUAACUGUAUAUUUACUUAUUAAUCAGUUACUAAUAGUAGGAUAUAAUGACCCGCUAAUUUUCUUUUACUAACUUUAGCGAACAUGAAAAAAGUUACCGUAGGGAUAACAGGGUAAUAUUUCUGAAGAGUUCUCAUCGAUAGAAAU
rnacentral:rRNA from 1 species